rnacentral:lncRNA from 1 species
AGAAGCUGAAGAUACUUUUUUGGCAGAAAAGAUUUCAGCUUGACCGCCGCCAUCAAUGGAGGCCCUUGUUGUCAGCAAAGAAAACUUGCAGCGGCAUAGCAUGGGAUUCCCAGCUCGAGGACGAAUGCUAUGGCGCUGGGCAUUUGGGGUAUGAUGAUUAUUAUGCAGCGGGGGUUUAAGAAAAUAAUUUGGGGGUUUGAAUUUCAAAUGGGUUGUUGGGAUUGUCGAAGACAUUUUUGAAAUUCUUUACGCUGAAUCAGAUUGAUUUAAGGGCUACGAGAAAUCAAGGGUUCUUGGAUUGGAAGUCCCUGGAGAAGAUAUUUUCUCUGUUUUCUGAUAAAUUGUUUGUUUCUAGAAUCU